AUACCUGGCGGCAGCUUACCAUGCAAGUCGAGCGGGGAAAGUAGCUUGCUACUUUACCUAGCGGCGGACGGGUGAGUAAUGCUUAGGAAUCUGCCUAUUAGUGGGGGACAACAUUUCGAAAGGAAUGCUAAUACCGCAUACGCCCUACGGGGGAAAGCAGGGGAUCUUCGGACCUUGCGCUAAUAGAUGAGCCUAAGUCGGAUUAGCUAGUUGGUGGGGUAAAGGCCUACCAAGGCGACGAUCUGUAGCGGGUCUGAGAGGAUGAUCCGCCACACUGGGACUGAGACACGGCCCAGACUCCUACGGGAGGCAGCAGUGGGGAAUAUUGGACAAUGGGGGGAACCCUGAUCCAGCCAUGCCGCGUGUGUGAAGAAGGCCUUUUGGUUGUAAAGCACUUUAAGCGAGGAGGAGGCUACUUAGAUUAAUACUCUGAGACAGUGGACGUUACUCGCAGAAUAAGCACCGGCUAACUCUGUGCCAGCAGCCGCGGUAAU
rnacentral:rRNA from 1 species